UACGUAGGGGGCAAGCGUUGUCCGGAUUUAUUGGGCGUAAAGAGCGUGUAGGCGGCCAGGGUAGGUGGGUUGUGGAAAACUGGGAGGCUCAACCUUCAGACGUCGACCCAAACCCCCUGGCUAGCAGUCCGGAAGAGGAGAGUGGAAUUCCUGGUGUAGCGGUGAAAUGCGCAGAUAUCAGGAAGAACACCCGUGGCGAAGGCGGCUCUCUGGGACGGUACUGACGCUGAGACGCGAAAGCGUGGGGAGCGAACAGG
rnacentral:rRNA from 1 species